AAGACGGCCAUGCUCUUGUUGGAGAGAUCUUCUUCGAUGUACUCGUACUCCACGCCUUUCAGCGUGAGUGCCCAUAUCACUCUAAUCACAUAAGGGCUUGCCCACAUGCCAUGUAGCCUUACUUCCAUUGAUGGAGUAGAAUGCUAGAUUCCUCUCAAGAUUCAUAUCAGUUCUUGGUCGACAGAAGAUGCUUCCUUAAAUUUAUGAGCUCCGGAAACUGUGCCUCUGUGUCCGGAAGAUUCUCCUUAAUCCCAGGCUCUUCCUUGAAAUCCUGCAUCCACCGGUGCAGCCUCGGAAGAGUUGUGGGCCCCAGCACCUCCACGCCCACGACUCGUUCCACUUGCUUGAACGAGGUCUUCCGCCGCCUUCUCUUUGCCCUCCUCCGAGCAUGCAAGGAAGCUUUGAAAUGCGUAGCCCUGCGUGCACGAUCACGAGAUAGACGAAAUAUUGGUUCCCUCCAAAACAAGAGCAAUGAGGGGGGAAUUCAUCCCAAAA